CCCUUAGAUGUUCUGGGCCGCACGCGCGCUACACUGAUGCAUUCAACGAGCCUAUCCUUGACCGACAGGUCCGGGUAAUCUUUGAAUCUGCAUCGUGACGGGGAUAGAUUAUUGCAAUUAUUAAUCUUCAACGAGGAAUGCCUAGUAGGCGCAAGUCAUCAGCUUGCGUCGAUUACGUCCCUGCCCUUUGUACACACCGCCCGUCGCACCUACCGAUUGAAUGGUCCGGUGAAGCCUCGGGAUUGUGGCCAGUUCACUUUAUUGGGAGUUGGCUGUGAGAACUUGUCUAAACCUUAUCAUUUAGAGGAAGGUGAAGUCGUAACA
rnacentral:rRNA from 1 species